rnacentral:misc_RNA from 1 species
GAUGAAGAACGUAGCGAAAUGCGAUAAGUAAUGUGAAUUGCAGAAUUCAGUGAAUCAUCGAAUCUUUGAACGCACAUUGCGCCCGCCAGCACUCUGGCGGGCAUGCCUGUCCGAGCGUCAUUACAACCCUCAGGCCCCCGGGCCUGGCGUUGGGGAUCGGCGGAAGCCCCCUGCGGGCACAACGCCGUCCCCCAAAUACAGUGGCGGUCCCGCCGCAGCUUCCAUUGCGUAGUAGCUAACACCUCGCAACUGGAGAGCGGCGCGGCCACGCCGUAAAACACCCAACUUCUGAAUGUUGACCUCGAAUCAGGUAGGAAUACCCGCUGAACUUAAGCAUAUCAAUAAGCGGAGGA